AUUGAACGCUGGCGGCAGGCCUAACACAUGCAAGUCGAGCGGAUGAAGGGAGCUUGCUCCUGGAUUCAGCGGCGGACGGGUGAGUAAUGCCUAGGAAUCUGCCUGUAGUGGGGGAUAACGUCCGGAAACGGGCGCUAAUACCGCAUACGUCCUGAGGGAGAAAGUGGGGGAUCUUCGGCCUUCAGGCUAUCAGUUAAGCCUAGGUCGGAUUAGCUAGUUGGUGGGGUAAAGGCCUACCAAGGCGACGAUCCGUAACUGGUCUGAGAGGAUGAUCAGUCACACUGGAACUGAGACACGGUCCAGACUCCUACGGGAGGCAGCAGUGGGGAAUAUUGGACAAUGGGCGAAAGCCUGAUCCAGCCAUGCCGCGUGUGUGAAGAAGGUCUUCGGAUUGUAAAGCACUUUAAGUUGGGAGGAAGGGCAGUAAGCUAAUACCUUGCUGUUUUGACGUUACCAACAGAAUAAGCACCGGCUAACUUCGUG
rnacentral:rRNA from 1 species